GAUGAAGAACGUAGCGAAAUGCGAUACUUGGUGUGAAUUACAGAAUCCCGUGAACCAUCGAGUCUUUGAACGCAAGUUGCGCCUCAAGCCAUUAGGUUAAGGGCACGUCUGCCUGGGCGUCACAUAUCGUUGCCUGAUGCCAGUUUCCUCGUGAUGGGUGACUGUGCAGGGCGAAUGAUGGCUUCCCGUGAGCAUUGUUGCCUCAUGGUUGGUUGAAAAUUGAGUCCUUGGUAGGGAGCGCCGUGAUAGAUGGUGGUUGAGUGACGAACGAGACCCAAUCAUGUGAGACCCCUACCGAAUUUGGCCUUCAUGACCCACAUGCGUCUUUGGAACGCUCAUGACGAGACCUCAGGUCAGGCGGGGCUACCCGCUGAGUUUAAGCAUAUCAAUAAGCGGAGGA
rnacentral:misc_RNA from 1 species